GAUUUUUUCGCUCUUGUUGUUCGUCUUCUGCUUCUUCGGUUACCACGCUAAAGAGAUAGUAUUUCAAACUUGCUUUAGGUUUUAUUGUGUAUAGUGUGUAGUGAGUAAAGUUGUUAUAUACGGUUUUUCUUUUCUUGUGUUUUGAUUUUAGUUUAUGUGCAUUUUUUUGUUUUUGUGUUUUUUUCCGUGUUAUUCUUAACCACAUACGCGAAUUUCUUUGCCAACUUUGACUUUUAAUACUCUCCCGGCGUUUUCCCGGCGACCAGCGCGCAACUAUCUUAGUAACACUAGUAGAAAGAAUAAAAAUUUAGAAAAAUAUCUGUUAAGAGAAUCAAAGCGAUUUCGCUAUUCGCGUAUAGCAGCUCCGUUUGAUAAUCAUGUCGUGUUUUAUUUUGUCGUUUCGCUUUAAUAAAAAAAAAAAAACAAAGAUGAUGAAAUGGUUCCUGUGUCAUGAAGAAUGAGUCUUCUUUUAUGACGGCAAUUGAAACACCACAGGCUUCUGCAACCAAAAUGUCUGUAAGAGAAUGUUUUCUAAGGCGAUUUCGAUAUCAAAAUUGUUGUAAACACUUAACCUCACGGUAUUCUCUUUAUU